rnacentral:rRNA from 1 species
AUUGAACGCUAGCGGCAUGCCUUACACAUGCAAGUCGAACGGUAACGCGGGGCAACCUGGCGACGAGUGGCGAACGGGUGAGUAAUGCAUCGGAACGUGCCCAGUUGUGGGGGAUAACUGCUCGAAAGAGCAGCUAAUACCGCAUACGACCUGAGGGUGAAAGCGGGGGAUCGCAAGACCUCGCGCAAUUGGAGCGGCCGAUGUCGGAUUAGCUAGUUGGUGGGGUAAAGGCCCACCAAGGCGCCUAUACGUAGCUGGUCUGAGAGGACGACCCGCCACCCUGGAACUGAUACACGCGCCAGACUCCUGUGGGAGGCAGCAGUGGGGAAUUUUGGACAAUGGUCACGAGUCUGAUCCAGCCAUGCCGCGUGACGGAAGAAGACCUUAGGGUUCUAAACCGCUUUUGUCAGGGAAGAAAUCUUCUGGGUUAAUACCUCGGGAGGAUGACGGUACCUGAAGAAUAAGCACCGGCUAACUACGUGCCAGCCGCCGCAGUAACAC